ACCUGGGGUAUGGUGGCCGAGUGGGUAAAGGCUGUUUACUUGGAACCAAAGGUUGAUGGUUCGAUUCCAUCCCGGGGCA